rnacentral:rRNA from 1 species
UAGGGAAUCUUCCGCAAUGGACGAAAGUCUGACGGAGCAACGCCGCGUGAGUGAAGAAGGAUUUCGGUUCGUAAAACUCUGUUGUUAGGGAAGAAAAAAUGUAUAGUAACUAUAUACAAAAGAGACGGUACCUAACCAGAAAGCCACGGCUAACUACGUGCCAGCAGCCGCGGUAAUACGUAGGUGGCAAGCGUUGUCCGGAAUUAUUGGGCGUAAAGGGUUCGCAGGCGGAAAUGCAAGUCAGUUGUGAAAGGCAGAGGCUCAACCUCUGUAAGCAAUUGAAACUGUAUUACUUGAGAUGUGGAGAGGCAAGUGGAAUUCCUAGUGUAGCGGUGAAAUGCGUAGAUAUUAGGAAGAACACCAGUGGCGAAGGCGACUUUCUGGACGAACACUGACGCUGAGGCGCGAAAGCCAGGGGAGCGAACGGG